rnacentral:rRNA from 1 species
AACGAACGCUGGCGGCAUGCCUAACACAUGCAAGUCGAACGAGACCUUCGGGUCUAGUGGCGCACGGGUGCGUAACGCGUGGGAAUCUGCCCUUGGGUUCGGAAUAACUCAGAGAAAUUUGAGCUAAUACCGGAUGAUGACGUAAGUCCAAAGAUUUAUCGCCCAAGGAUGAGCCCGCGUAGGAUUAGCUAGUUGGUGAGGUAAAAGCUCACCAAGGCGACGAUCCUUAGCUGGUCUGAGAGGAUGAUCAGCCACACUGGGACUGAGACAUGGCCCAGACUCCUACGGGAGGCAGCAGUGGGGAAUAUUGGACAACGGGCGAAAGCCUGAUCCAGCAAUGCCGCGUGAGUGAUGAAGGCCUUAGGGUUGUAAAGCCCUUUUACCCGGGAUGAUAAUGACAGUACCGGGAGAAUAAGCUCCGGCUAACUCCGUGCCAGCCGCCGCAGUAAUAC